UAUAUCUUGGCAAUGUAAGCCAAAAUACAAAACAACUUGCAUGUGAAAGAUACAAGGCAAACAACAAAGGGCCUCAUUUUUGAGGAGUAUAGCAACACGUUGUCAUAAUAUGUAAAGUCUUGCUUGAGAAUGCUCCGGGCACCUGGCUAUAGAAGGUAUAAUAGAAAUUGCAACAACAAAAUCCUAACUAUAAUAGAAUACCAACUAAAUUCUAAUUAAACCAUAAUAAUGCUAAGCAAGCUUUAAUUAAAUUCAAAAAAAAAACCUCAAAGAAAUUUCAAAAAAUAAUAAGAAAUAUUAAAGAAAUAUUAGAAUGAUUACAAAUAUAUCUCAAAUACAUCUCAAUUCAAUAUUAAUUUAAUCUUAGUUAAAAUCCUAUUAGACUUCAUUCAAACUUUAGGUCAAAAUUAAUUAAAUCUUAAACCCUAAACAAAACCUAAUAAAAUCCUAAAUCCUAAAUCAAACCCUAAAUCCUAAAUCAAAUCCUAAAUCCUAAAUCAAACCCUAAAUCCUAAACCAAAUCCUAACCAAAUCCUAAAUCAAAUCCUAACUAAAUCCUAAAUCCUAAACCAAACACUAACCAAACUCUGAACCCUAAACCAAAUCCCAACCAAAUCCUAAAUCAAAUCCUAAAUCCUAAACAAAUCCUAAACCAAAUCCCAACAAAAUCCUAAACCAAAUCCUAAACCCUAAAUAAAAUCCUAACCAAACUCUAAAUCCUAAACCAAUCCCUAACCAAAUUCUAGUAAUUCCUACAAUAGAUUUAAACCUCAAUAACUAAUGAAUAAACCAUUGAUCUUAAC
rnacentral:lncRNA from 1 species